rnacentral:lncRNA from 1 species
AUAUUAUCGUUUCAUUAGCACGCUCGAACAUAAUUCUUUAAUUUUGGGUUUUUGCGUUUGUUUAACAUUAGUGAAGAACCUUCAUCGACAAAACAAAUUGAAAUUUGUAGUAUUAUGAAACUAAAGAACUAUUAAUGGUCUUUUUUCAUUUUAAUAGUUUGAAUUUUACUAAUGUUGUCCUUGUUUUUCUGCUUUAAUUCUUUUUCGCCGGGCCUAUCUUUACUAGCGUGAUAUUCAAUUAGGAGCUUCCAAUAAGAAAAUCUAUACAUCAAAUUAUCCUGUGGCAGACUGCUCUUUUUUUAUUUUUUUAUUUUAAGACCCCCGUUUGAACGUCAAUGAAGUUUUUCACAUUACUAUUAAAAAAAUAUUGACAAAUCAGUAGAGAACCCUAACAUAUGGUAUAGUAGAGAUUAUGCGAUAAUAACUUUGAUUAAUAAAUGUAUAAGAUAGUUGCUCAGUUAUUUAUUCACCAAACAUGUAAUUAAUUCUUAUAUUAUUUAAUUUGCUUUCUUAUAACAGAAGUUAUCUAUUUUACGAUUACAAUUUUAGUUUUCAUUUGUUUUUGAGAAGAGUAAUAUUUUAGCACAGUCAAGCAAUGAAAUUUUUAAUAUUUCUUUGAACUUGUCAAAUUUUUUGACCACCUAGACCAUCUAGAAUUACUUCGAUAGGGAUUUUGGCAACAAAACUCGUAUCCACUUUAUAAGUUUUGAAUUAGUAUGACGUCUUUUGUUUUGUUCUCGUCACUAUGAUCAAAACUGCUAGACCUUCUAGGAGUAGCUUUUUUUUUUUAAUGGUUUUUGCAUAGAAUUAUGCAUUAUUAUAACAAGUCUACAAUUCCAUUAUAUUUGUAUUGCCUUUUAAAUUCGCUUCCUAUUCAAAUUGAGCAUUUUCCAUUACCA